rnacentral:rRNA from 1 species
GACGUAGGGCGCAAGCGUUGUCCGGAUUUAUUGGGCGUAAAGAGCUCGUAGGCGGCUUGUCGCGUCGACUGUGAAAGCCCGAGGCUCAACCUCGGAACUGCCUUCGAUACUGCGGGUCUCGAGUCCGGGAGAGGUGAGUGGAAUUCCUAGUGUAGAGGUGAAAUUCGUAGAUAUUAGGAAGAACACCAGUGGCGAAGGCGGCUCACUGGCCCGGUACUGACGCUGAGGCGCGAAAGCGUGGGGAGCAAACAGG